rnacentral:rRNA from 1 species
UACAGAGGGGGCAAGCGUUGUUCGGAAUUACUGGGCGUAAAGGGCGCGUAGGCGGCCUGCUAAGUCGAACGUGAAAUCCCUGGGCUCAACCCAGGAACUGCGUCCGAUACUGGUUGGCUUGAAUCCGGGAGAGGGACGUGGAAUUCCAGGUGUAGCGGUGAAAUGCGUAGAUAUCUGGAGGAACACCGGUGGCGAAGGCGGCGUCCUGGACCGGCAUUGACGCUGAGGCGCGAAAGCCAGGGGAGCAAACGGG